AUAUUGGACAAUGGGCGCAAGCCUGAUCCAGCCAUACCGCGUGGGUGAAGAAGGCCUUCGGGUUGUAAAGCACUUUAAGUUGGGAGGAAGGGCAGUAAGCUAAUACCUUGCUGUUUUGACGUUACCGACAGAAUAAGCACCGGCUAACUCUGUGCCAGCAGCCGCGGUAAUACAGAGGGUGCAAGCGUUAAUCGGAAUUACUGGGCGUAAAGCGCGCGUAGGUGGUUCGUUAAGUUGGAUGUGAAAUCCCCGGGCUCAACCUGGGAACUGCAUCCAAAACUGGCGAGCUAGAGUAUGGUAGAGGGUGGUGGAAUUUCCUGUGUAGCGGCGAAAUGCGUAGAUAUAGGAAGGAACACCAGUGGCGAAGGCGACCACCUGGACUGAUACUGACACUGAGGUGCGAAAGCGUGGGGAGCAAACA
rnacentral:rRNA from 1 species